UCAGUGUUCUGUUGGGGAAUGAGCGGAGUGAGUGAAACAUAGGACUGAUGUACUCAAGUGAACCUGUAUUACUGAGGAGGUGUGCUGCUGUGUUCUGUAACUCUUGCAGAUUUUGCAGGGCAGAAGCAUUCAAGUCUAAAUACAUUGGAUUGCGAUGAUUCAAGCAAGAGUUAAUGAUGGCCUAUGCGAUUGAGGCCAAAUUGUAAAUACAAAUGAUGGGAUGUAGCCUUACCAGAUUAAGGAAAUGGAGGAAAAACCUUCUUCGCUGCCAGUCUGAUCAAAAAUCUCAAGAAAUCCAUCAGCUGCAAGAAGAACUGAAAACAGCUAAACAGUUUCUGAAGGAGACCCAGAAUUAUGCGGAAGAGAUGAAAAAGAAGAGUUUGUCUCAGGAAAUACAAUUAGAAAAGAAAGAAGCUGAGAUUUGGGAUUUAGAGGGGAAAAAUCAAGAUUUGACUGAGGAACUUGAGAAAGUGCAGUCAGAGUUGCAACUUAAACAAGCUGAGAUCGC